AGGACUAUCUCACAAUGUCUGACAUGC
rnacentral:piRNA from 1 species